GACGAACGCUGGCGGCGUGCUUAACACAUGCAAGUCGAACGGAAAGGCCCUGCUUUUGUGGGGUGCUCGAGUGGCGAACGGGUGAGUAACACGUGAGUAACCUGCCCUUGACUUUGGGAUAACUUCAGGAAACUGGGGCUAAUACCGGAUAGGAGCUCCUGCUGCAUGGUGGGGGUUGGAAAGUUUCGGCGGUUGGGGAUGGACUCGCGGCUUAUCAGCUUGUUGGUGGGGUAGUGGCUUACCAAGGCUUUGACGGGUAGCCGGCCUGAGAGGGUGACCGGCCACAUUGGGACUGAGAUACGGCCCAGACUCCUACGGGAGGCGGCAGUGGGGAAUAUUGCACACUGGGCGGAAGCCUGAUGCAGCAACGCCGCGUGCGGGAUGACGGCCUUCGGGUUGUAAACCGCUUUCGCCUGUGACGAAGCGUGAGUGACGGUAAUGGGUAAAGAAGCACCGGCUAACUACGUG
rnacentral:rRNA from 1 species